AUUGAACGCUAGCGGGAUGCCUUACACAUGCAAGUCGAACGGGGUGGGGAACGGGUGAGUAAUGUAUCGGAACGUGCCCAGUAGCGGGGGAUAACUACACGAAAGCGUAGCUAAUACCGCAUACUAUUGGAGCGGCCGAUAUCGGAUUCGGUAGUGGGUGGGGUAACGGCUCACCAAGGCGACGAUCCGUAGAUGGUUUGAGAGGACGACCAGCCAAACUGGGACUGAGACACGGCCCAGACUCCUACGGGAGGCAGCAGUGGGGAAUUUUGGACAAUGGGGGAAACCCUGAUCCAGCCAUCCCGCGUGUGGGAUGAAGGCCUUCGGGUUGUAAAGCACUUUUGGCAGGAAAGCGGUACCUGCAGAAUAAGCACCGGCUAACUACGUGCCAGCAGCCGCGGUAAUUC
rnacentral:rRNA from 1 species